GCACACUCUACAAAAGCCUGACUGGAGAUUUGCCUGAUCUAUCCAUCCUUCAGGUGACAGCGGCUCACUUAUAGAGCAGGUGAAGCAAGUUGGGACAAUGUUGAAGACGUUUGCUCACACUGGGCAAUCAGGAACCCCUGUAGGUGCAGAUCAGACCCUAAUGCUGCGAUGUCUUGGAGAGUUUGGCGUUGCUUGACAACAGUUUGAGGCAGGAUAAAAGCUCCAGUAACGAUUUCUUCGGUUUUUGGCAAUCAAAUGUGGGAGGGACCUAAAGACAACUGUGUGGCGAAUGCUUCAGAGUAUCUUCUCUAAUCACCUUUCCAUCGAUACAACCUGGUCUGGUGUAGGGGAUAAAGCAUGUUUUAGAAACAUGUUCCUGAAGACCAUUGUUCAAAGAGCCAUCUGGAAGAACCCGGCAACCCAGGAUGCCACUGAUGAGGCGAUCCAGGUUAACGUUACGUGUUACCUGAAAGGAGCAUCUGAACGUGAAGGUGG